UACGGAGGGUGCGAGCGUUGUCCGGAAUCACUGGGCGUAAAGGGCGCGUAGGUGGCUCGUGAAGCGUGCGGUGAAAGUCCGAGGCUCAACCUCGGAUCGGCCGUGCGGACUCGCGGGCUGAAGCGUUGUAGAGGCGGGUGGAAUUCCGGGUGUAGCGGUGGAAUGCGUAGAGAUCCGGAAGAACACCGGUGGCGAAGGCGGCCCGCUGGGCAACUGCUGACACUGAGGCGCGACAGCGUGGGGAGCAAACAGG
rnacentral:rRNA from 1 species